GAUGAGCGCUGGCGGCGUGCCUAAUACAUGCAAGUCGAGCGAACAGACGAGGAGCUUGCUCCUCUGACGUUAGCGGCGGACGGGUGAGUAACACGUGGAUAACCUACCUAUAAGACUGGGAUAACUUCGGGAAACCGGAGCUAAUACCGGAUAAUAUAUUGAACCGCAUGGUUCAAUAGUGAAAGACGGUUUUGCUGUCACUUAUAGAUGGAUCCGCGCCGCAUUAGCUAGUUGGUAAGGUAACGGCUUACCAAGGCAACGAUGCGUAGCCGACCUGAGAGGGUGAUCGGCCACACUGGAACUGAGACACGGUCCAGACUCCUACGGGAGGCAGCAGUAGGGAAUCUUCCGCAAUGGGCGAAAGCCUGACGGAGCAACGCCGCGUGAGUGAUGAAGGUCUUCGGAUCGUAAAACUCUGUUAUUAGGGAAGAACAAAUGUGUAAGUAACUAUGCACGUCUUGACGGUACCUAAUCAGAAAGCCCCGGCUAACUACGUG
rnacentral:rRNA from 1 species